GCGAACGGCUCAUUAUAACAGCUAUAAUUUACUUGAUCUUGAUUAUCCUACUUGGAUAACUGUGGUAAUUCUAGAGCUAAUACAUGCACCAAAGCUCCGACUUACGAACGAGCGCAUUUAUUAGACCAAAACCAAUCGGGCUUCGGCUCGUUUGUUGGUGACUCUGAAUAACUAAGCUGAUCGCACGGUCUCGCACCGGCGACGUGUCUUUCAAGUAUCUGCCUUAUCAACUUUCGAUGGUAGUUUAUGUGCCUACCAUGGUUGUAACGGGUAACGGAGAAUAAGGGUUCGACUCCGGAGAGGGAGCCUGAGAAACGGCUACCACAUCCAAGGAAGGCAGCAGGCGCGCAAAUUACCCACUCUCGGCACGAGGAGGUAGUGACGAAAAAUAACGAGACCGUUCUCUAUGAGGCCGGUUAUCGGAAUGGGUACAAUUUAAACCCUUUAACGAGGAUCUAUGAGAGGGCAAGUCUGGUGCCAGCAGCCGCGGUAAUUCCAGCUCUCAAAGUGUAUAUCGUCAUUGCUGCGGUUAAAAAGCUCGUAGUUGGAUCUGCGCCUCAGGACUCGGUCCGCCCACUGGGUGUGAACUGGGAUCCUAGGCUAAUACUGCUGGUUUUCCCUUCGUGGCCUUCACUGGUUGCGUUGGGUGGCUAGCGAGUUUACUUUGAAAAAAUUAGAGUGCUUAAAACAGGCUAUUGUCUGAAUACUCGUGCAUGGAAUAAUAGAAUAGGACCUCGGUUCUAUUUUGUUGGUUUUCUGAACUGAGAUAAUGGUUAAGAGGGACAGACGGGGGCAUUCGUAUCGCUGCGUGAGAGGUGAAAUUCUUGGACCGCAGCGAGACGCCCUACUGCGAAAGCAUUUGCCAAGAAUGUCUUCAUUAAUCAAGAACGAAAGUCAGAGGUUCGAAGGCGAUCAGAUACCGCCCUAGUU
rnacentral:rRNA from 1 species